AUAACCUUUUUGGUUAUCAACAAUUUACAACUGCAGAUAGUGGUGAAAGGAUCGAAUCCACAGGGAAUUGAGAACUUACCUAUUUUCCUUAUCAAGACCAAUAAAAUAAACUGAAACAAAAAUAAACUGAAAAAGAAUAAAACUGAAAACAAGAUAAAACUGAAAGUAAAAUGGGGGGAUUUUGAGAUUGAUUUAAUUAAUCUAAAACUGAAAGCAAUAAAAAUAAAACAAAUAAUAAAAAUAAAGAGAAAUCAAUAAUAAGAAAGAUCUAGUUGAAGAAUUGGAUCCACUU
rnacentral:lncRNA from 1 species